rfam:Picea glauca, whole genome shotgun sequence.
UAUGUACAUGCCUUUAGCAUAGAAUCAAUGCACCAAAUCCCAUUAGAGCUUCGCAGUUAAGUGUGUUCAAACUAGAGUAGUACUGGGAUGGGUGACCACCCAAGAAGUCCUAGUGUUUUACAUGC